rnacentral:rRNA from 1 species
AGUGAACGCUGGCGGUAGGCCUAACACAUGCAAGUCGAACGGCAGCACAGUAAGAGCUUGCUCUUACGGGUGGCGAGUGGCGGACGGGUGAGGAAUACAUCGGAAUCUACUUUUUCGUGGGGGAUAACGUAGGGAAACUUACGCUAAUACCGCAUACGACCUACGGGUGAAAGCAGGGGAUCUUCGGACCUUGCGCGAUUGAAUGAGCCGAUGUCGGAUUAGCUAGUUGGCGGGGUAAAGGCCCACCAAGGCGACGAUCCGUAGCUGGUCUGAGAGGAUGAUCAGCCACACUGGAAUUGAGACACGGUCCAGACUCCUACGGGAGGCAGAAGUGGGGAAUAUUGGACAAUGGGCGCAAGCCUGAUCCAGCCAUACCGCGUGGGUGAAGAAGGCCUUCGGGUUGUAAAGCCCUUUUGUUGGGAAAGAAAAGCAGCAGGUUAAUACCCCGCUGUUCUGACGGUACCCAAAGAAUAAGCACCGGCUAACUUCG